CGUGGCAGAUGAUGUGAUAUUAAAUCUUAUCCUACACACUGAAUACUCGUGUUGAUUUCUUACUCCGCUUAUUAUCUGAUGCCAUU